UGAAACGGGGAGAGGACAUUAAAGAAGCAAGGAGUUCCCCUGACUAGAGAAGUCCUAGUCUCUCUAGGAACAUCUAGUGUUUAGAAACUUCUACUCAUCACCCCUGCAACCCCCACCUCUACCCUUCAAAACACCUAAGGAGAAUAUCACCAUUGCUGUCAUUUUUCAAGGAGCCAACCAUGCUCCUCAGAGACCAAGACAGAAAAAGAGAGACCUAGAAAUAGGAUGUGGGGCUGUAAGGCGCGCCGAAGUUCUGCGCACCAUAGCUUGGACCACAACUCGAAUGGGAGUAGGACACCCCCAGGUUCCCGG